rnacentral:rRNA from 1 species
GACGAACCGUGCGAACGUUGUUCGGAAUCACUGGGCUUAAAGGGCGCGUAGGCGGGUUGGUAAGUCCGUGGUGAAAUCCCCAAGCUUAACUUGGGAACUGCCGUGGAUACUAUCAAUCUUGAAUAUCGUGGAGGUAAGCGGAAUAUGUCAUGUAGCGGUGAAAUGCUUAGAUAUGACAUAGAACACCAAUUGCGUAGGCAGCUUACUACACGAUCAUUGACGCUGAGGCACGAAAGCGUGGGGAGCAAACAGG